rnacentral:lncRNA from 1 species
AUCACUAAAAAAUAAAAAUUAAAGGAAACUAUACUCUAAUAAAUAAAAUUGAUAAUUUCUAAAUUCUUGAAUGAAUAACCAAUUCAUCUGCCUCUUUUCUUUUCUUUUUUCCUUAUACCUUGAUACCUCAAAACAAUAAAUAAAAAUAAUAACUGGACUAAUGAAUGACCAGUGUAUCUACCUAAACUGUUUCCUCAGAAUCUUGUGCAUUGUAUCAAUCUUCUCAUCAGCAGCUUUUCGUUUUCGAUUAUUCAAAGUAAUGGAAGAAACAGAAAUAGGAGAGGGCAUCUGAAAAUCCUUGAAUUGGACUACGGAAUUGUAGAAGUAGGUGACAUCUCUAAGAGGCAACCUUAACCUCCUCUUUGUACAACAUUGGUGUAUCCGAGUAUCUGGGCUGUUUUCAUCGGGAGAGUUUGGUGGGGUAUUCUCUUUAUUAUCCUCAUUUUCGGAGUAACAAAUUUUCAACUCCAUUUGUGCUG